rnacentral:rRNA from 1 species
ACGACCGGCGCACGGGUGAGUAACACGUUUGCAACCUACCUCUAACUGGAGGAUAGCCCGAAGAAAUUCGGAUUAAUAUUCCAUAAAGUCAAUUUAAGGCAUCUUCUAUUGAUUAAAGCUCCGGCGGUUAGAGAUGGGCAUGCGUGUCAUUAGCUAGUUGGUGAGGUAACGGCUCACCAAGGCCACGAUGACUAGGGGGUCUGAGAGGAUGAUCCCCCACACUGGUACUGAGACACGGACCAGACUCCUACGGGAGGCAGCAGUGAGGAAUAUUGGGCAAUGGACGCAAGUCUGACCCAGCCAUGCCGCGUGCAGGAUGACUGCCCUAUGGGUUGUAAACUGCUUUUGUUUGGGAAGAAACCCCCGAUCGUGAUCGGGGCUGACGGCACCAUACGAAUAAGCAUCGGCUAACUCCGUGCCAGCAGCCGCGGUAAUACGGAGGAUGCAAGCGUUAUCCGGAUUCAUUGGGUUUAAAGGGUGCGCAGGCGGAAUAUUAAGUCAGUGGUGAAAUCCUGCAGCUUAACUGUAGAACUGCCAUUGAUACUGAUAUUCUUGAAUAUAGUUGAGGUAGGCGGAAUGUGUAAUGUAGCGGUGAAAUGCUUGGAUAUUACACAGAACACCAAUUGCGAAGGCAGCUCACUAAACUAACAUUGACGCUGAGGCACGAAAGCGUGGGUAGCAAACAGGAUUAGAUACCCUGGUAGUCCACGCUGUAAACUAUGAUCACUCGCUGUUGGCAAUACAUCGUCAGCGGCUGAGCGAAAGCAUUAAGUGAUCCACCUGGGGAGUACGGUCGCAAGAUUGAAACUCAAAGGAAUUGACGGGGGCCCGCACAAGCGGAGGAACAUGUGGUUUAAUUCGAUGAUACGCGAGGAACCUUACCUGGGCUUAAAUGCAGAGCGACGUCCGCCGAAAGGUGGAUUCCUUCGGGCGAUCUGCAAGGUGCUGCAUGGUUGUCGUCAGCUCGUGCCGUGAGGUGUCGGGUUAAGUCCCAUAACGAGCGCAACCCUUAUCGUUAGUUGCCAGCGGGUAAUGCCGGGGACUCUAACGAAACUGCCGGUGUAAACCGUGAGGAAGGUGGGGAUGACGUCAAAUCAGCACGGCCCUUAUGUUCAGGGCUACACACGUGUUACAAUGGUCGGUACAGAGGGCAGCUACCACGCGAGUGGAUGCUAAUCUCGAAAACCGGUCUCAGUUCGGAUUGAAGUCUGCAACUCGACUUCAUGAAGCUGGAUUCGCUAGUAAUCGCGCAUCAGUCAUGGCGCGGUGAUACGUUCCCGGGCCUUGUACACACCGCCCGUCAAGCCAUGGAAGCUUGGGGUACCUGAAG